AGCGAACCCUCGGCUAUAACUCAGGCGCGGCGCUGGCUGUGCGCAUUCCCGGCUGCGGACCCGGAGAGCCUCCGAGGGGAAAAAUCCGAGGGCUCCCGUCACAGCCCACCUCCACCGGCACAACAUCCGCGAGGACCUCGGCCCGAGCUUUCCUUUUCCUUUUUCCUUUUCUUAUUUUAUCUUCCCCUUUUCCCUGACGAGGAGGAGAUACUCCCCCCUCCCCAGUCCCUUCGCAGAGGUGGGAGCCCCAAGUUCCACUCCGCUCAGAGACGGCGGAUAACCGCGCCGCCUUGUCAGCCGCCGCCUCGUUACAGGACCCAUUUGCCGCAUCGCGGAGUCAUCGCGGCGCUGACGGAUGGGCCGGGACCCCCGCGCCCCCCGCCCGAAGCGGGGAGGAAUGCGGCGGGCGGAGCCCCGCGCCCGGCCCGCUCCCCGCCGGCGGCGAUUUACGGUCUGUGUACGUUUGCUGGCUCCAGAUAUCGGCAGCGUAAUGGAUGGCUCUAUUUUAUGAAUCCGAGCCUCGGAUUCGAGGCGAUCGGGAGUCCCUUCCUUGUAUGGUGCACUCCUGUCUCAGCCCUAAGCCGCCCCGCAGGCAAUAAACCUCCCCGCGAAAUGUGCCGGGAGAUAACGGUCGACUUUAUUGAUUGCGAGAAAACGCUGGAUACCAAAUAAAGGGCUUUUAUGAGGAUCCCUGCGAAGAGCCCUUUCUCCGCGGCCAUUAGCGCGAUAUUGACGUUUUACUGCGAGUAAACUGUGAACUCGUUCGGCCCUAAAACCUCGGAGCAGGCGGGGAGCGGAGCGAGGAGCUGCAGAGCCCAGAGCCCCCGCUCCUCCCCGGGGCACGGAGACACAGAGGGGGCACCGCGGGACCCUCCCGGGAUGCUCGGGGAUCGACAAAGCCCUGCCUGCAUGAGGGAUGCACAGGGCAGCGUCUGCCAGGGGCACAGUGUCCAGAGCUGGCCGGCUUCGAAACAGCCGGGACUUAUUACGAUUAUUAUUUGUUUAUUUUCUAAUUUCUUUUACUUUUGUUUUUGAAACGAUUCUUUUUACAUUUCGUUUUUAUUCCACUUUCUCCAGUUUGUAUUCUAUUUUCAUUCCGUUUCCGUACAUUCCGGGCUCAACACGUUGAGCACUUUCCCCUCGCACACCGCUCCGAGCUUUCAUUCUCGUUCCAUCCGUCUCCAGGCGGCCAGCUCGGAGGUCCCGAGCACGUUAUUUCCCUCCCACCAGCCUCCGAGAGCGGAUUUUUAGUUACUUGUUGUUUCGUUCUGUUUGCCUCGCUUUGCGGAGGUAACUGUAAAACCACUCAGAGGCUGAGAGUUGCAUCGCAUUUUCCUGGAAAGCCAUAAAACUGUCUCAUUCCCCGAUGCUCCUUGAUUAACUUACGAGCAUAAAGGAAAUGCUUGAAUAGUGUUCCCUCUGUGAUUUUCUUUCGGCGAGGGGAAGCUGAGGGAAGAUGCUAAUAUUGUCAUCUUAUUUUACAAUUUAUACCUUCUGCCCAAACGGUGCACACACAGCCUAAGGCACAGCGGGGUUCAGCUUCUUAAAUGCAGCCCAUAUAUUUCAGCGCCUGGAGAGCUGCACAGGCAAAUAACUCAGCCUGCUUUUACAAGGCUGGCUGCUAUUGAAACAAACAGGGUGACCCGGAGCUGCUCAGAAGAGGUCCAGCUAAUGGGAUGUGCCAGUGCUGCGUGCAGAUCCCCAUACACCAGUCCCAAAUACCAUCCCCACCCCAUACACCAUUCCCACACAUCAACCCCAUGCUCCAGCCCCUCUGCUCGCCCCAUGCAGGCUCCCCCAGCACUAACAAUCUUCACAUGGUUCCUUGGCUCCUCCACGCAAGCGCCAUGUGCUUACACUUAACUUUAUCUCCAGUACAUGUGGAUCUCUGCGUGUACGUAUGUGCUGGAAACACAUGGCCAGCCUUUUUAUAUAUAUAUUGAUUAAGCCUCAGCCAGUGAGGUUUUGUAAGGAAUAUUCAGCUCAUCUGCAAAAGUCUUUGGUCAGAACCAAGCAAAAAGGGCACAAACGCUGCUCCUCACAGAACACUGGAAGUUGCUAGAUGCACUUUGGCUCAUAAAUGAAUAGCUGAUUUAUUCUUCAAUCGGGACAAAGCCAUUAAGGUUUGCUCAGCCCUGGUCUAUGGGAAAAUAACUCCUUUGAUGGAACUCCCCCCCCAGACUCCCUGAAGCUCUCUCUGCUGCAGGAGCAGCACUUCUUCCUGCCUUUGGGUGGAAGGGAGAGCUGGACCUCCAAAGAAAUGCAGCUCUCUAGCCUCUUGAAUUUCACUUUGUAUCCUUCCCUCUACCUGCUCAGCUAAUUCUUUGCAUUCGGGACCUGUCCAAACCCACCCAGAGAAAACUACAGAAUAAUGAGAGCGGUGCAUCAUCAUUUAUCAGCUCUUUCUUCCUUGCUGGUGGCCAAUAUUGCAGCUCUAAAGGAAACAGCCUUGUGAGGGGGGGCUGAAAGAAAGGCACGGAAAGAAAUUCAAUCUGAGGAAUGAGAGGAAUGGAUAAAAAAAAAAAAGUAAAAAAUAAAAAAAGCCAUGCUGAUGACUUUUUCA
ensembl:lncRNA